rnacentral:rRNA from 1 species
GAUCCUGGCUCAGAUUGAACGCUGGCGGCAGGCCUAACACAUGCAAGUCGAACGGUAACGAGAAAGCAGCUUGCUGCUUUGCUGACGAGUGGCGGACGGGUGAGUAAUGUCUGGGAAACUGCCUGAUGGAGGGGGAUAACUACUGGAAACGGUAGCUAAUACCGCAUAACGUCGCAAGACCAAAGAGGGGGACCUUAGGGCCUCUUGCCAUCGGAUGUGCCCAGAUGGGAUUAGCUGGUAGG